GACGAACGCUGGCGGCGUGCUUAACACAUGCAAGUCGAACGAUGAAGCCGGAGCUUGCUCUGGUGAAUUAGUGGCGAACGGGUGAGUAACACGUGAGUAACCUGCCCUUGACUCUGGGAUAACUGCGGGAAACUGUAGCUAAUACCGGAUACGACCCUCGGAGGCAUCUCCUGGGGGUGGAAAGAAUUUCGGUCAAGGAUGGACUCGCGGCCUAUCAGCUAGUUGGUGAGGUAAAGGCUCACCAAGGCGACGACGGGUAGCCGGCCUGAGAGGGUGACCGGCCACACUGGGACUGAGACACGGCCCAGACUCCUACGGGAGGCAGCAGUGGGGAAUAUUGCACAAUGGGCGCAAGCCUGAUGCGGCAACGCCGCGUGAGGGAUGACGGCCUUCGGGUUGUAAACCUCUUUCAGCACAGACGAAGCGCAAGUGACGGUAUGUGCAGAAGAAGGACCGGCCAACUACGUGCCAGCCGCCGCCGUAA
rnacentral:rRNA from 1 species